rnacentral:rRNA from 1 species
CCUACGGGUGGCAGCAGUGAGGAAUAUUGGUCAAUGGGCGAGAGCCUGAACCAGCCAAGUAGCGUGAAGGAUGACUGCCCUACGGGUUGUAAACUUCUUUUAUAAAGGAAUAAAGCGAGGCACGUGUGCCUUUUUGUAUGUACUUUAUGAAUAAGGAUCGGCUAACUCCGUGCCAGCAGCCGCGGUAAUACGGAGGAUCCGAGCGUUAACCGGAUUUUUUGGGUUUAAAGGGAGCGUAGAUGGGUUGUUAAGUCCGUUGUGAAAGUUUGCGGCUCAACCGUAAAAUUGCAAUUGAUACUGGCAGUCUUGAGUACAGUUGAGGUAGGCGGAAUUCGUGGUGUAGCGGUGAAAUGCUUAGAUAUCACGAAGAACUCCGAUUGCGAAGGCAGCCUACUAAACUGUCACUGACAUUGAUGCUCGAAAGUGUGGGUAUCAAACAGGAUUAGAUACCCGGGUAGUC